GACGAACGCUGGCGGCGUGCUUAACACAUGCAAGUCGAACGGAAAGGCCCUGCUUUUGUGGGGUGCUCGAGUGGCGAACGGGUGAGUAACACGUGAGUAACCUGCCCUUGACUUUGGGAUAACUUCAGGAAACUGGGGCUAAUACCGGAUAGGAGCUCCUGCUGCAUGGUGGGGGUUGGAAAGUUUCGGCGGUUGGGGAUGGACUCGCGGCUUAUCAGCUUGUUGGUGGGGUAGUGGCUUACCAAGGCUUUGACGGAUAGCCGGCCUGAGAGGGUGACCGGCCACAUUGGGACUGAGAGACGGCCCAGACUCCUACGGGAGGCAGCAGUGGGGAAUAUUGCACAAUGGGCGGAAGCCUGAUGCAGCAACGCCGCGUGCGGGAUGACGGCCUUCGGGUGGUAAACCGCUUUCGCCUGUGACGAAGCGUGAGUGACGGUAAUGGGUAAAGAAGCACCGGCUAACUACGUG
rnacentral:rRNA from 1 species